rnacentral:rRNA from 1 species
UUAUAUUCUGUAGCAAGGUUAACCGUAUAGGGGAGCCGGAGGGAAACCGAGUCUUAACCGGGCGUUAAGUUGCAGGGUAUAGACCCGAAACCCGGUGAUCUAGCCAUGGGCAGGUUGAAGGUUGGGUAACACUAACUGGAGGACCGAACCGACUAAUGUUGAAAAAUUAGCGGAUGACCUGUGGCUGGGGGUGAAAGGCCAAUCAAACCGGGAGAUAGCUGGUUCUCCCCGAAAGCUAUUUAGGUAGCGCCUCGUGAAUUCAUCUCCGGGGGUAGAGCACUGUUUCGGCUAGGGGGCCAUCCCGGCUUACCAACCCGAUGCAAACUGCGAAUACCGGAGAAUGUUAUCACGGGAGACACACGGCGGGUGCUAACGUCCGUCGUGAAGAGGGAAACAACCCAGACCGCCAGCUAAGGUCCCAAAGUCAUGGUUAAGUGGGAAACGAUGUGGGAAGGCCCAGACAGCCAGGAUGUUGGCUUAGAAGCAGCCAUCAUUUAAAGAAAGCGUAAUAGCUCACUGGUCGAGUCGGCCUGCGCGGAAGAUGUAACGGGGCUAAACCAUGCACCGAAGCUGCGGCAGCGAACGUAUCACCCAAGACAACUUUACGGAGUUGACGAUUGACGGAGCGAAGCGACGUCAAAGCGUUCAUUAAAGUCGAGUUGGCUUAGGGAUACGUUCGUUGGGUAGGGGAGCGUUCUGUAAGCCUGUGAAGGUGUGUCGUGAGGCA